GUAGUCAUAUGCUUGUCUCAAAGAUUAAGCCAUGCAUGUCUAAGUAUAAGCAAUUAUACCGCGAAACUGCGAAUGGCUCAUUAUAUAAGUUAUCGUUUAUUUGAUAAUACUUUACUACUUGGAUAACCGUGGUAAUUCUAGAGCUAAUACAUGCUGAAAAUCCCGACUUCGGAAGGGAUGUAUUUAUUAGAUUAAAAACCAAUGCCCCUCGGGGCUCUCUGGUGAAUCAUGAUAACUAGUCGAAUCGACAGGCCUUGUGCCGGCGAUGGCUCAUUCAAAUUUCUUCCCUAUCAACUUUCGAUGUUUGGGUAUUGGCCAAACAUGGUGGCAACGGGUAACGGGGAAU
rnacentral:rRNA from 1 species